AAGAUUAAGCCAUGCAUGUCUAAGUAUAAGCAAUCUGUACGGUGAAACUGCGAAUGGCUCAUUAAAUCAGUUAUCGUUUAUUUGAUAGUACCUUACUACAUGGAUACCUGUGGUAAUUCUAGAGCUAAUACAUGCUAAAAACCUCGACUUCGGAAGGGGUGUAUUUAUUAGAUAAAAACCAAUGCCCUCCGGGGCUCCUUGGUGAUUCAUAAUAACUUCUCGAAUCGCAU
rnacentral:rRNA from 1 species